AGUAACGACGUGGGCGAACCUGCCUCAUAGAGAGGAAUAGCCUUCCGAAAGGAGAUUAAUACCUCAUAACAUUGCAGUUUCGCAUGGAACAGCAAUUAAAGGAGUAAUCCGCUAUGAGAUGGGGCCCCGCGGCGCAUUAGCUAGUUGGUGAGGUAACGGCUCACCAAGGCGACGAUGCGUAGCCGACCUGAGAGGGUGAUCGGCCACAUUGGGACUGAGACACGGCCCAGACUCCUACGGGAGGCAGCAGUGGGGAAAUAGUUGCACAAUGGGGGAAACCCUGAUGCAAGCAACGCCGCGUGAGUGAUGACGGCCUUCGGGUUGUAAAGCUCUGUCUUCAGGGACGAUAAUGACGGUACCUGAGGAGGAAGCCACGGCUAACUACGUGCCAGCAGCGGC
rnacentral:rRNA from 1 species